CGGCCCCAUCCCGAACCCGGAAGCUAAGCCUGACAGCGCCGAUGGUACUGCACCCGCCAGGGUGCGGGAGAGUAGGACACCACCGAGC
rnacentral:rRNA from 1 species